CUUACUGUCUGUAAACUUCUGAUCCACUGGAAUUGUGAUACAGUGAAUUAUAAGUGAAAUAAUCUGUAAACAAUUGUUGUGUCAGGCACAAAGUAGAUGUUCUAACAGACUUGCCAAAACUAUAGUUUGUUACCAAGAAAUAUGUGGAGUGGUUGAAAAACAAGUUUUAAUGACCCCAACCUAAGUGUAUGUAAACAUCCUGACUUCAACUGUAGUUGAUUUUAUUAAAAAAAACAUAGGGUUUGUCUAUAUAUGGAAAAAUACACAUUUAAACAUUUUUACCAAUUGAUUAGUCGAAAUAAGACGACUUUUGGCCGACCAAGAUUAUUAUUUUUUUGUCGGGGACAGCCCUAAACAAGUGACAUCAUUAAGGGAUCAUAGCUUUCACCUGGAUUCAACUGGUCAGUCAUGGAAAGAGCAUAAUGUUCUUUACACUCAAUGUAUAUUUCCAUGUUGAAGCCAUGCAAUUACUUAGAACAAUGUGGACUGCGAACAGGUUCAAGUUAACGUAUUUCGCAAAGAUGGGACAUGUUGUUACGUUGUUUCUGUAAGACGGGAUAGGUCUACAUGUUGUUACGUUGUUUCUGUAAGAUGGGAUAGGUCUACAUGUUGUUACGUUGUUUCUGUAAGACGGGAUAGGUCUACAUGUUGUUACGUUGUUUCUGUAAGACGGGAUAGGUCUACAUGUUGUUACGUUGUUUCUGUAAGAUGGGAUAGGUCUACAUGUUGUUACGUUGUUUCUGUAAGACGGGAUAGGUCUACAUGUUGUUACGUUGUUUCCGUAAGAUGGGAUAGGUCUACAUGUUGUUACGUUGUUUCUGUAAGAUGGGAUAGGUCUACAUGUUGUUACGUUGUUUCCGUAAGAUGGGAUAGGUCUACAUGUUGUUACGUUGUUUCUGUAAGACGGGAUAGGUCUACAUGUUGUUUCUGUAAGAUGGGAUAGGUCUACAUGCUGUUACGUUGUUUCUGUAAGAUGGGAUAGGUCUACAUGUUGUUACGUUGUUUCUGUAAGAUGGGAUAGGUCUACAUGUUGUUUCUGUAAGAUGGGAUAGGUCUACAUGUUGUUACGUUGUUUCUGUAAGAUGGGAUAGGUCUACAUGUUGUUUCCGUAAGACGGGAUAGGUCUACAUGUUGUUACGUUGUUUCUGUAAGAUGGGAUAGGUCUACAUGUUGUUACGUUGUUUCUGUAAGAUGGGAUAGGUCUACAUGUUGUUACGUUGUUUCUGUAAGAUGGGAUAGGUCUACAUGUUGUUACGUUGUUUCUGUAAGAUGGGAUAGGUCUACAUGUUGUUACGUUGUUUCUGUAAGAUGGGAUAGGUCUACAUGUUGUUACGUUGUUUCUGUAAGCUACUUAACAAACUAUAACGGACUAACAUUGCAAUUGGAGUUGAUGACAAUGCAAUACAUAAAACAAACAACUUGAAGCAACCACGUAUUUAGCUAUGGAGCACAUUCUCAUUGGCCAGUGAGGGGCCAAGUCUCGACACACCCACAACUGGUUUAUUCAUCAAAACCCAGCCCUUUGGCGCCACAGCCAGCAACGGCGGCCAUAAUUCUGGAUGUGAAAAUAGCUAAAAUAGUUCUGACAAAGCCCUGAACCUAUUGCGCUACCGUCAGCACUUAGAUUGAACAUUUUGUUAGAUCUGUCCGAAAAAUGCGCCUGGUCUUGGUCUUUCUAAUGAGAAAGUGGUUUAUAGACCCACAUUCACUCUGGGGAAUGGUGGAUGCAUAAAUAUAGCCACCACUAACGAGCCAUGUUGAAAAGACAAUAGAAGAGUUGUAUGCUGGUGUCUGGUACUUUAGGUUAAUACUUCCAAGGGGCGCUGUGAGAGUAAUACCACGAGAGAAAAAAAAGAGACCAAAACCAGCGAAAGUUGUCUUGCUUUUUCCGCAGGUAAUGGUUUGCAGCAUGCCCAUACUAAAUCACACACACAUAUAGGCUAGGCCUACACACGCUAAGCCAGUGAAAGUAUCAUAUCCUAUUCCUUAUAGUUGUGGUUAUGAAGUCCAAAUGUUCCUGUUUCACUAUUAGCAGAACACACACACACACACUUUCACUCCUUGGAGCAUUUUGGAGGUGGGGGAGUGGGGUUAUGUCAAACACACACACACACACACUGAUUAACUUCCUGUUCCGUAAGGUACGUAAAACCACCAAGUUUCACCUGGUCUCACUGCACAUCCGUGUGCAUGUGUGUGUGUGUGUGUGCAUGGACUUUUGCACACACACCCAAAACCACAGACCAUAAUGAUAUAUUGUCCAUGUCACUACUUAUAUCGGACCAAUUUAGAUUGUGUGUGUGUGUGUGUGUGUGUGUGUGUGUGUAUAGAACGAAGAUUCACUGAGAAUUCAUGUUUGACAUUUCCUGCACUGUGCAGAUGACACACACAAGGAGCUCCCCCACCCACAAAAAAACAAAACAACUUCUUAAGAGAGAAUAUAUAGAGAAAAUGAAAGAGAGAGAGAGAGAGAGGAAAAAUAUACAGACAUCAGGCCCAUAGAGUAUACUCAUAUUUGAACCCCUGGCUAAGUGCAUCCAAGCACUGUUUACAGUAACACUUCAAACAGACACACAGAGACAUCACAGUAUGUACUCCACAUAUGACAUACACACACACACCACAAAACACACACCGGGCUGCUCAGACAGUCCCCUGAAUUCCCCUGUCAGAUUUAGUAUAUUUUGAGGUAAGCCAAAAGACUACAGAGUGCCUUCGAAAAGUUCAGACCCCUUGAUAAAAUCAUUUCCCCCCCCUCAAAUCUACACAGAAUUCCCCCAUAAUAUCCCAUUUACAUACGUAUUCAGACCCUUUCCUUAGUACUUUGUUGAAUCACCUUUGGCAGCGAUUACCACUGAGUCUUCUUGGGUAUGUCGCUACAAGCUUGGCACACCUGUGUUUGGGGAGUUUCUCCCAUUCUUCUCUGCAGAUCAUUUCAAGCUCUGUCAGGAUGGAUGAGGAGCGCUGCUGCACAGCCAUUUUCAGGUCUCUCAUUUUGCACAGCCAUUUUCAGGCCUAAGAGUUCAACCUUGGUUUCAUCAGACCAGAGAAUCAUGGUCUGAGAAACUUCAGGUUCCGUUUGGCAAACUCCAAGCGGGCUGUCAUGUGCCUUUUACUGAAGAGUGGCUUCCGUCUGGCCACUCUACCAUAAAGGCCUGAUUGGUGGAGUGCUGCAGAAGGUUCUCCCAUCUCCACUGAGAAACUCUAGAGCUCUGUCAGAGUGACCAUCAGGUUCUUGGUCACCUCCCUGACCAAGGCCCUUCUCCCCGAUUGCUCAGUUUGGCCGGGCGGUCAGCUCUAGGAAGAGUCUUGGUGGUUCCAAACUUCUUCCAUUUAAGAAUGAUGGAGGCCACUGUGUUGUUGAGGACCUUCAAUGCUGCAGAAAUGUUUUGGUACCCUUCACCAGAUAUGUGCCUCCACACAAUCCUGUCUCGUGCUCUAUGGACAAUUCCUUCGAAAUCAUGGCUUAGUUUUUGCUCUGACAUGCACAGUCAACUGUGGGACCUUAUAUAGACAGAUGUGUGCCUUUCAAAAUCAUGUCCAAUCAAUUGAAGUUACCACAGGUGGACUCCAAUCAAGAUGGAGAAACAUCUCAAGGAUGAUCAAUGGAAACAGGAUCCACCUGAACUCAAUUUCAAGUCUCAUAGUAAAGGGUCUGAAUCCUUAUGUUUUCAAAUGUUUUCACUUUGUCGUUAUGGGGUAUUCUGUGUAGCUUGCUGAGGAUUAAAAAAAAUGUAUUUUAUCAAUUUUAGAACAAGGCUGUAAUGUAACAAAAUGUGGAAAAAGUCAAGGGGUCUGAAUAUUUUCCCGAAGGCACUAUAGGUCAGGGGUUAUUAUGUGUGGUCCUUCUGUAGCUCAGUUGGUAGAGCAUGGCGCUUGUAACGCCAGGGUAGUGGGUUCGAUUCCCGGGACCACCCAUACGUAGAAUGUAUGCACACAUGACUGUAAGUCGCUUUGGAUAAAAGCGUCUGCUAAAUGGCAUAUAUUAUUAUUAUUUAUUAUAUUAUGGGUAAACCCCCCCUCUCUCUGUCACACCUGUGGCUUGGCUCAGAAACUCAACAUUGCGAAAGGCAAUCUCUGAAUUUUAAAAGUCCAUCAACAGUGCAGAGGUCGUUAAUCUGUGUUUGUUUGAAUCCUGGCCAUAGCGCAUAAUGUCCUGCGAUUAAGGUGUGCAGUCCCUCCAUUUGAAGUA